GAAACAUGACCUUUAGUUUUUUAUAUUCUUCAUAGUCGAGUUUAAAUUGGCCUAAUUUAUAGUUAGUUACCACUAGAAAUGCGACGAUAUUUUGUUAUAUAUAUGCAACAGUGUUUACAACUUUUGAAUAAUAUGUGAUUUGGUUUUGUUUCAGAUACUAUUACAUGUUGCUUCAUUUUACCAUAAAUUGUGUUAAAAAAGUGAUUUGCUCAUUUGGCUGAUGUUACAGUUUUCGGAUGUGUUUUGUUUGGAUCAUAUUAGAACAAUUUCAAUAUGAAAGUGCAGGUGUCUUUAGAGAUGAGCCAUAAUGUAUAUAUAAAAAAUACUGAUAACAUCCGUUUCCAGCUUGAUUGUAUUAUUGUAUCCGUUUCCGGAUUUGUUGUAUUUGCAUUGUUGCAGACAAAGUUGUGCAAUGGUGGGCUUAUGUCACAUACUCGUAUGUAAUUCCAUGUGCCUGCAUGUACUGUACUUUGAUGCCUCAAGAGAUGCUUCAAAUGUGUAAUAAAGGGCUGUUCGCAGGAGUUGGGCUGUUUGGCCUUAAAUUGCAUUGUUUUUAUGAUAUUUUAAGAUUGUAUUCAUAUGGCUGGACCAUCUUGCCAUUGCCACAAUGUCUGAUGUUCAAACAGGCUUUAAAAUCAGAUUACAAUGCAUGCUUGAAAAUAUGCAACAAUUUCACUGCUAAUAAUAUUCCAGAAAAUCCUGCCUCUUGGGCAGAUCUGGACUGAUUUGUCAGAGGGGGUUGGAAGUUUUUUACUUGUGAUCGGGCAAGGGGAGCUAAGCCAAGGGUGCUGGGUCAGAGUCAUACUAAUGUGAACAGUUUCUAAGUCCUAUUUAUAUUGAUAAAUUAUGUACACUUGGGAUGGUAAUGCAAUUUGUAAAAUAUUCCAGAUUUUAUUUAAUAAAAUUUAAUUAUAUACAUUGUUUUUGUUGUUUAUACUAACACCUUGGACAGUGUAUAUUUACACCUUUGGACCCCGUAAAUAAACACCUUUGGAGGGUGUAUCCAUUCUAAGCCAAAGACGUUUAAGAACAAUUAUCAAGGUAUUUCCAUUAUAAAAUAUAUUUAAAACUGCUCUCCAUAUACAUGUAAUGUAUGGUUCAAUUCUUGCUUUUACCAAGUAAACCCAGGGAUUUUUGAUGUCCCCCCUCCUCCCGUAGAAUUCACUUGAAGUGACUGGGGCAAGGUAGCUAUAAGUAUAAGUAGUUAUAUUGAUUUAAUUAAAGUCAAUUAAAAUUUAGAAAUUGGGCUUUUUGAAUAUAGGCCAUUGCAAUUUUUUUUUCAUUUGUUUAAUCCUUUAUAGUGGCAAUGUCCCUACUUUAGUAUAUUACUCCAUCUGGUGCCUGACAAUUUUAAUUAAGGGCAGAAUGUAGACUUAAGCUUGCCACAAGUCGACCUCGAACGAAACAUUGGCUUACACUCGCUGCUUGCGAAACCGUUUGAGGUCGACUUGUGGCAAUUCUAACAUAAUGCUGCCACUGAAUGAGUUAAUAUAUUCUCAGAACAACUACUAUCAAAUUUAAUCUAUUUUGCUGGCAAAAUUCCGUUGGAGGGGGUCUUUGACUUGUUGUGCGAGUUUCCAUAACAAUGGUCUUUUAUUAAAGUGUUCUUUAGCUGGUAUAAAGACGUAUGCACGUGACUAAUUUCUUACUCAAGAUUGGAUAAUUGCUUCAUGAAU